GUGGGGAAUAUUGGACAAUGGGCGAAAGCCUGAUCCAGCCAUGCCGCGUGUGUGAAGAAGGUCUUCGGAUUGUAAAGCACUUUAAGUUGGGAGGAAGGGCAGUAAGUUAAUACCUUGCUGUUUUGACGUUACCAACAGAAUAAGCACCGGCUAACUUCGUGCCAGCAGCCGCGGUAAUACGAAGGGUGCAAGCGUUAAUCGGAAUUACUGGGCGUAAAGCGCGCGUAGGUGGUUCAGCAAGUUGGAGGUGAAAUCCCCGGACUCAACCUGGGAACUGCCUCCAAAACUACUGAGCUAGAGUACGGUAGAGGGUAGUGGAAUUUCCUGUGUAGCGGUGAAAUGCGUAGAUAUAGGAAGGAACACCAGUGGCGAAGGCGACUACCUGGACUGAUACUGACACUGAGGUGCGAAAGCGUGGGGAGCAAACAGGAUUAGAUACCCUUGUAGUCC
rnacentral:rRNA from 1 species